CCUCCGCUUAUUGUUCGGUCAAUUGUUGAAUACAGUCGCUAUUGCGCAACAGCUACUCGGAACAACAAGCAUAUUCCCUGGACAAGAUCCAGGGUGGAGGGCGUGGCUUAUUGAGCUGUUUACUACACUACAAGAAAAGCAGAAGCCGUCCCUUCCUGUGCCUUCUGAGAUCACACGCCAAGGCCUCAAGCGGGGAUGCUUAUGAGGACACCGAAAAUGAGAGUCAAAGAGGAGCAGCAGCGAAGAAAUGAACAUAGCAGAAGACUUUGAGAAGCUUAAGAUGAGAUGUCACUGCUGGGAGUCUUUAAGAUGCACAAAGGCUUCAAGAGUGAUCUUGAGGUUGACGAUGACGCCAAGCCUUUUACGAUGAAGACAGUUGAGGCCACUUAAAAAGUGAGGAGCACCAUAUGAGUGUGACAAAAGGUCUUGGCAGUGUGCGGCACAAAAGCCACAAAAUGAAAUUCUGAGUAAUCAAAAUUCUAUUUCAUCCCCAUGGAUAGCAGACAGUCCUGUCAAUCCAGCUGCUGGCCAUGGCUAGAUAAAGACGUAGUACGUUGCAUAACGUAAAUAAUGCAAUAUUUUAUUUUGGACUGGUAAGAAUGAUUGAGCGAAUCUUUUUGCAUAACAUGUUUCCCAUCCAUUGAAAAUCAGGACCAAAGAUACACCAUUAUGACUGCACAGUGACUCUGUUAAAUAUUUUGGUCACUUGCCAUGCAUGACAAUAUGAGGAUUUAAGACUUUACAGUCACUGCAGCUGUGUAAUUUUUUUACAGGGUGGGCCAUUAUUUAUUUUAGUUUGGAGUUUCAGGUUUUGAUUCUCUCAAAUAUGCAUUGUUGGUUUUUUUUGGGUUAAA